rnacentral:rRNA from 1 species
UGGGGAAUAUUGGACAAUGGGCGCAAGCCUGAUCCAGCCAUGCCGCGUGUGUGAAGAAGGCCUUCGGGUUGUAAAGCACUUUAAGUUGGGAGGAAGGUUUCUUGGUUAAUACCCAAGAGAAUUGACGUUACCAACAGAAUAAGCACCGGCUAAUUCCGUGCCAGCAGCCGCGGUAAUACGGAAGGUGCGAGCGUUAAUCGGAAUUACUGGGCGUAAAGCGCACGUAGGCGGUUUUUUAAGUCGGAUGUGAAAGCCCUGGGCUCAACCUGGGAAUUGCAUCCGAUACUGAAAGACUAGAGUACGGUAGAGGGGGGUGGAAUUCCAGGUGUAGCGGUGAAAUGCGUAGAGAUCUGGAGGAACACCGGUGGCGAAGGCGGCCCCCUGGACUGAUACUGACGCU